AUGCCGAUUUGGUCCUAGUCCCAACUCUAGCUUUUUCAAAACUGCCACAUGCAAGCUAACUAGCAACCCAGUGAAGUUAAUUAUUUUCCAAACUAACCUUAAAAGAUAAGAAAAGGAAAACACACUGAUAUCAGGGUAAACAAACAACCCAAAAACAUCAAGCAUCAUUGUCACAUCUGCAGUGCUAAAUAUUAGACAAUCAGAACAAUCUGGAUCUAGUAAAGAAUACUAAGGAGGUAAAAUACGUGCCAGCUACCGCGGUUAUACGUAUCCCCUAUAGCUAAAGUCCCCAACGGUCAAAAGGAUGGUUAAAGAAUUCUACCUUGCCUGCAGCUCUAAGAUAGUGGUGGAAAACUUACCUUAGAAGAAACAUUCACAAGACAACAUAGAUACUUGAAUCCAUGAACACUAAGAUCUAAACCAGGAUUAGAUACCCUGUUAUACUCAGAAGUAAACAACCUUAAACACCAGAGAACUACGAACUAAAAAUUUAAAACUCAAAGGACUUGGCGGUUUUCCAAAUCUCCCUGGAGGAGCUUGCCAUUGAAUCGAUAAUCCACGUUAUACCUCACCAACUUUUGAAAUUCACAGCCUGUAUACCAUCGUCGUAAGUCUACUUCCUAAGAAAGUUGACUUAAAGAACCAACCUCCAGACGUCAGAUCAAGGUGCAGCCAACAAGUUGGGAAUAGGUGAGCUACAAUGUUAACUACAACCAGUGAAAGAAAACAUGAAAAAUGCUUCAGAAAUUGGAUUCAGCAGUAAGAAUCACUAGACAAUGAUUCUGAAGAGAGCUCUGGAAUGCGUACACAUCGCCCGUCACUCUCGCCUAACUUGCCAAUAAAGUAAGGGGAGAAAAGUCGUAACAUAGUAGGCCUACCGGAAGGUGGGCCUGGAUAAAUU
rnacentral:ncRNA from 1 species